rnacentral:rRNA from 1 species
AUUGAACGCUGGCGGCAUGCUUUACACAUGCAAGUCGAACGGUAACAGGCCUUCGGGCGCUGACGAGUGGCGAACGGGUGAGUAAUGCAUCGGAACGUGCCCAGUCGUGGGGGAUAACGCAGCGAAAGCUGUGCUAAUACCGCAUACGAUCUGCGGAUGAAGGCGGGGGACCUUCGGGCCUCGCGCGAUUGGAGCGGCCGAUGUCGGAUUAGGUAGUUGGUGGGGUAAAGGCUCACCAAGCCAACGAUCUGUAGCUGGUCUGAGAGGACGACCAGCCACACUGGGACUGAGACACGGCCCAGACUCCUACGGGAGGCAGCAGUGGGGAAUUUUGGACAAUGGGCGCAAGCCUGAUCCAGCAAUGCCGCGUGCAGGAAGAAGGCCUUCGGGUUGUAAACUGCUUUUGUACGGAGCGAAAAGGCUCCCUCUAAUACAGGGGGCUCAUGACGGUACCGUAAGAAUAAGCACCGGCUAACUACGUGCCAGCCGCCGCUGUAAUAC